rnacentral:rRNA from 1 species
UGCAGUCGAGCGGAUGAAGGGAGCUUGCUCCCGGAUUCAGCGGCGGACGGGUGAGUAAUGCCUAGGAAUCUGCCUGGUAGUGGGGGAUAACGUCCGGAAACGGGCGCUAAUACCGCAUACGUCCUGAGGGAGAAAGUGGGGGAUCUUCGGACCUCACGCUAUCAGAUGAGCCUAGGUCGGAUUAGCUAGUUGGUGGGGUAAAGGCCUACCAAGGCGACGAUCCGUAACUGGUCUGAGAGGAUGAUCAGUCACACUGGAACUGAGACACGGUCCAGACUCCUACGGGAGGCAGCAGUGGGGAAUAUUGGACAAUGGGCGAAAGCCUGAUCCAGCCAUGCCGCGUGUGUGAAGAAGGUCUUCGGAUUGUAAAGCACUUUAAGUUGGGAGGAAGGGCAGUAAGCUAAUACCUUGCUGUUUUGACGUUACCAACAGAAUAAGCACCGGCUAACUUCGUGCCAGCAGCCGCGGUAAUACGAAGGGUGCAAGCGUUAAUCGGAAUUACUGGGCGUAAAGCGCGCGUAGGUGGUUCAGCAAGUUGGAUGUGAAAUCCCCGGGCUCAACCUGGGAACUGCAUCCAAAACUACUGAGCUAGAGUACGGUAGAGGGUGGUGGAAUUUCCUGUGUAGCGGUGAAAUGCGUAGAUAUAGGAAGGAACACCAGUGGCGAAGGCGACCACCUGGACUGAUACUGACACUGAGGUGCGAAAGCGUGGGGAGCAAACAGGAUUAGAUACCCUGGUAGUCCACGCCGUAAACGAUGUCGACUAGCCGUUGGGAUCCU